UACGAAGGGGGCUAGCGUUGCUCGGAAUCACUGGGCGUAAAGGGUGCGUAGGCGGGUCUUUAAGUCAGGGGUGAAAUCCUGGAGCUCAACUCCAGAACUGCCUUUGAUACUGAAGAUCUUGAGUUCGGGAGAGGUGAGUGGAACUGCGAGUGUAGAGGUGAAAUUCGUAGAUAUUCGCAAGAACACCAGUGGCGAAGGCGGCUCACUGGCCCGAGUACUGACGCUGAGGCACGAAAGCGUGGGGAGCAAACA
rnacentral:rRNA from 1 species